rnacentral:rRNA from 1 species
AGUCGAACGAUGAACCCGGAGCUUGCUCUGGGGGAUUAGUGGCGAACGGGUGAGUAACACGUGAGUAACCUGCCCUUGACUCUGGGAUAACCUCCGGAAACGGAAGCUAAUACCGGAUAUGACGCACGGAGGCAUCUCCUGUGCGUGGAAAGAACUUCGGUCAAGGAUGGACUCGCGGCCUAUCAGGUAGUUGGUGAGGUAACGGCUCACCAAGCCUACGACGGGUAGCCGGCCUGAGAGGGUGACCGGCCACACUGGGACUGAGACACGGCCCAGACUCCUACGGGAGGCAGCAGUGGGGAAUAUUGCACAAUGGGCGCAAGCCUGAUGCAGCAACGCCGCGUGAGGGAUGACGGCCUUCGGGUUGUAAACCUCUUUUAGUAGGGAAGAAGCGAAAGUGACGGUACCUGCAGAAAAAGCACCGGCUAACUACGUGCCAGCAGCCGCGGUAAUACGUAGGGUGCGAGCGUUGUCCGGAAUUAUUGGGCGUAAAGAGCUCGUAGGCGGUCUGUCGCGUCUGCUGUGAAAACCCGAGGCUCAACCUCGGGCCUGCAGUGGGUACGGGCAGACUAGAGUGCGGUAGGGGAGAAUGGAAUUCCUGGUGUAGCGGUGGAAUGCGCAGAUAUCAGGAGGAACACCGAUGGCGAAGG